UUUUUUAUGGUGUAUACAGCACGCUGGUUUUUCACACCAGAAGAAGGUUAUUAUCUUGAU
rnacentral:tRNA from 1 species